rnacentral:rRNA from 1 species
ACGGGGUGCAGCAGGCGCGAAAACUUCACAAUGUGCGAAAGCACGAUGAGGGGAUCCCAAGUGCUGGCUCGUAAGAGUCAGCUGUUUUUCUGUCUAAAAAACAGAGAGAGUAAGAGCUGGGUAAGACGGGUGCCAGCCGCCGCGGUAAUACCUGCAGCUCAAGUGGUGGCCGCUAUUAUUGGGCCUAAAACGUCCGUAGCCGGUUUAGUAAAUGUCUGGGUAAAUCGUGUAGCUUAACUAUACGAAUUCCGGGUAGACUGCUAAACUUGGGACCGGGAGAUGCUAGAGGUACUCCUGGGGUAGAGGUGAAAUUCUGUAAUCCUAGGGGGACCACCAGUGGCGAAGGCGUCUAGCUAGAACGGGUCUGACGGUGAGGGACGAAGCCCUGGGGCGCAAACCGGAUUAGAUACCCGGGUAGUCCGGGGUGUAAACGCUGCUCGCUUGAUGUUAGUUGAGCUCCGAGCCCAAUUAGUGUCGGAGAGAAGUUGUUAAGCGAGCUGCCUGGGAAGUACGGUCGCAAGACUGAAACUUAAAGGAAUUGGCGGGGGAGCACAGCAACGGGUGGAGCGUGCGGUUUAAUUGGAUUCAACGCCGGAAAACUCACCGGGGGCGACGGUUACAUGAAGGCCAGGUUGAUGACCUUGCCUGAUUUUCCGAGAAGUGGUGCAUGGCCGUCGUCAGUUCGUACCGUGAGGCGUUCUGUUAAGUCAGAUAACGAACGAGACCCUCAUCUUUAGUUGCAACUGGUAAGUUCGCUUAUCAGGCACACUAAAGAGACCGCUGGCGAUAAGUCAGAG